UACGUAGGGACCAAGCGUUGUUCGGAAUUACUGGGUGUAAAGGGUUCGUAGGCGGUGUGGCAAGUCGGGAGUGAAAUCUCUGGGCUCAACUCAGAGACUGCUUCCGAAACUGCUGUGCUGGAGUGUGGGAGAGGCGCGUGGAAUUGCAGGUGUAGCGGUGAAAUGCGUAGAUAUCUGCAGGAACACCCGUGGCGAAAGCGGCGCGCUGGACCACUACUGACGCUGAGGAACGAAAGCUAGGGGAGCAAACAGG
rnacentral:rRNA from 1 species